AUAUAACUACCAGGGUACUAUGAAUUAUUAAAUUUAAAACUCAAAGGACUUGGCGGUGUCUUAGACCACUUAGGGGAACCUGUCUCGUAAUCGACAGUCCACGUUGAACCUGACCUUUUUUUGUUUUCAGUUUGUAUACCGUUGUCGUCAGGUAACUUUUUAGAAAAAUAAAGUUAGCAAUAUAAAUUGAUUAUUUAGUACGUCAAAUCAAGGUGCAGCUAAUAGAAAGGGGAGGAUGGGUUACAAUUAUUUAUUUAUAAUUACGGAAGUAAAGCUAUAGAAAUAUAUUACAUAAGGAGGACUUAAAAGUAAAUUAAAAUAGAUAUAUAAUUUGAAUAAGGCUCUGAGACGUGU
rnacentral:rRNA from 1 species